rnacentral:tRNA from 1 species
GCCCAAGUAGUCUAGCGGUUAGGACUGAGCCCUGUCGAGGCUCAAACCCGGGUUCGAUUCCCGGCUUGGGCG